AAUUUUCCGCAAUGGGUGCAACCCUAACGGGGCAAUACCAGGAAGGGAGGAAUGCCUGCGGUUGUAAACAGAUUUGUGAGGGAAAAAUUUUGACGUGACUUAAGGAAUAAGCAUGGGCUAAGUUCUGGCAGCACGGGGGUGCAGCGGCAGUAGUAAGGAUUAUGCGAGAUCAGUGGAAUAAGGGUCUGUAAGUGGCUUAGUAAGUCUGCUUUAUUUAUGAGAAAUUACCUGGAAAUCAGCAGGAAAAACUAUUAAACUAGAGUAUGGUAGGGCAAAGGAAAUUCCCAGUGUAGCGGUGAAAUGGGUAGAUAUUGGGAAGAAUACCGGUAGCGAAAGCGCUUUGGUGGGCCUUAAGUGACACUCAGAGGCGAAGGUUAAGGUAGGCAUUGGGGUUAGAUGCCCCGG
rnacentral:rRNA from 1 species